rnacentral:rRNA from 1 species
AUUGAACGCUGGCGGAAUGCUUUACACAUGCAAGUCGAACGGUAGAGGGGGCAACCCCUCGAGAGUGGCGAACGGGUGAGUAAUAUAUCGGAACGUGCCCAGUCGUGGGGGAUAACGUAGCGAAAGUUACGCUAAUACCGCAUACGAUCUACGGAUGAAAGCGGGGGACUCGCAAGAGCCUCGCGCGAUUGGAGCGGCCGAUAUCAGAUUAGGUAGUUGGUGGGGUAAAGGCUCACCAAGCCAACGAUCUGUAGCUGGUCUGAGAGGACGACCAGCCACACUGGAACUGAGACACGGUCCAGACUCCUACGGGAGGCAGCAGUGGGGAAUUUUGGACAAUGGGGGAAACCCUGAUCCAGCCAUUCCGCGUGUGCGAUGAAGGCCUUCGGGUUGUAAAGCACUUUUGGCAGGAAAGAAAUCGCACAAAUUAAUACUUUGUGUGGAUGACGGUACCUGCAGAAUAAGCACCGGCUAACUACGUG